rnacentral:rRNA from 1 species
AACGAACGCUUGCGGCGAUGCUUAAAACAUGCAAGUCGAACGAGAAAGUGGCUUCGGCCAUGAGUAAAGUGGCGCACGGGUGAGUAACACGUAGCUAAACGUCCCUCUUCGCGUGGGGAUAACCUCGGGAAACCGAGGCUAAUACCGAAUGGUCUAAAAGAUUCUCUGGAAUUUUUUUGGAAAGCCGUAAGGCGCGAAGAGAUCGGGUUGCGUCCCAUUAGCUUGUUGGUAGGGUAAUGGCCUACCAAGGCGACGAUGGGUAGCUGGUCUGAGAGGAUGAUCAGCCACACUGGGACUGAGACACGGCCCAGACUCCUACGGGAGGCAGCAGUGGGGAAUAUUGGACAAUGGGCGCAAGCCUGAUCCAGCAAUGCCGCGUGUGUGAAGAAGGCCUGCGGGUUGUAAAGCACUUUCAGUGGGAAGAACAGAUUCGGUCAAUACCCGGAGCCCUGACGUUACCCACAGAAGAAGCACCGGCGUAACUACCGUGCCAGC